UGAUUAUCUGAAUUCGGACGAUCGGUGCAGUCGGGGGAAAACACUUGGUUUUAAACCUAAUGAAAUGGGCAGACUGAUUAUACUUCCAACCAGACCUUUGGAUAGACCCCCAGGAAGAAAAGAAACUUGAAGAGGGUGGAAACCAUGUGACAGUCCAAUCAGGAAAGAAAGCAUGUUGCAACACAUUGACAUUGAUGAAGCGUUUCGAUUUUAAGUUUCAAAAUCAAAACACUCUGUUCAACUUACUGUCCUAGAUAGCUAGAUGUGUGAUUGUUAUCAUAGUCGUCAUUCCGGUAUUAAGUUAUUGUUGUCUUUGUUCAAGGUAUUUUAUCUCGCUUAUAAGUGACAUGUUUUUGAUAAAACUUUUGAAAAUCUGUGUAAAUUGCAUCAUAUUCAAAUCAGUCUACUGAUAUAACUUUCAGACGUGUCAAAGAAUACUAUUUUAUUGCUGUUUUUUGUUGGUCUGCAACUAGCAUCAUACUGUUGAGUGAAUAAAUAAUAAUUUACCAAAUAUACAUUGCGUUGCCUUCAGGAAGUCAGAAGACCUCAGCGAGGCAACUGGCCAAUGUAAAUCUGUGUAAAUUGCAUCAGAUUCAAAUCAGUCUACUGUAAAAGUCAGACCCUUCAAAGUAGAUUAUUUAGUUGAUGUUUUUUGUUGGUACUGUUGAGUGAAUGAAUUACAAUUUACCAAAUGUAUAUUGUGUUGCCUUCAGGAAGUCAGAAGACCUCAGCGAGGCAACUGGCCAAUGUAUAUCUGUGUAAAUUGCAUCAGAUUCAAAUCAGUCUACUGUAAAAGUCAGACCCUUCAAAGUAGAUUAUUUAGUUGCUGUUUUUUGUUGGUACUGUUGAGUGAAUGAAUUACAAUUUACCAAAUGUAUAUUGUGUUGCCUUCAGGAAGUCAUAAGACCUCAGCGAGGCAACUGGCCAAUGUAAAUCUGUGUGAAUUGCAUCAGAUUCAAAUCACUAUACAAAUAUAACUUUCAGACAUGUCAAAGUAUACUAUUUUAUUGCUGUUUUUUGUUGGUCUGCAACUAGCAUCAUACUGUUGAGUGAAUAAAUUACAAUUUACCAAAUAUACAUUGCGUUGCCUUCAGGAAGUCGGAAGACCUCAGCGAGGCAACUGGCCAAUGUAAAUCGGUGUUAAUUGCAUCAGAUUCAAAUCAGUCGCCUGAUACAACAGUCAUAGUCAGACACAUCAAGUAAACUAUUAUUGUUGGGUUUUUUUGACACCCGCUGCAUGUAGUAUAUUGGUUAGUAAAUAAAUAAUUUAGCAAAUAUA